rnacentral:rRNA from 1 species
GAUGAACGCUGGCGGCGUGCUUAACACAUGCAAGUCGAACGGAAAGGCUCCUGCUUACAGGGGUACUCGAGUGGCGAACGGGUGAGUAACACGUGGGUGAUCUGCCCUGCACUUCGGGAUAAGCCUGGGAAACUGGGUCUAAUACCGGAUAGGACGAUGGUUUGGAUGCCAUUGUGGAAAGUUUUUUCGGUGUGGGAUGAGCUCGCGGCCUAUCAGCUUGUUGGUGGGGUAAUGGCCUACCAAGGCGUCGACGGGUAGCCGGCCUGAGAGGGUGUACGGCCACAUUGGGACUGAGAUACGGCCCAGACUCCUACGGGAGGCAGCAGUGGGGAAUAUUGCACAAUGGGCGCAAGCCUGAUGCAGCGACGCCGCGUGGGGGAUGACGGCCUUCGGGUUGUAAACUCCUUUCGCUAGGGACGAAGCGCAAGUGACGGUACCUGGAGAAGAAGCACCGGCUAACUACGUG